GUGCCAACGGGAUGGUGGCGGUCUUGUGUCCUUUGCGGUGGAUGAACAGGGUGCAGUGUCCGCGGUUGACGUCGAGGUUGUCGAUGUCGGCGUCCAACGCCUCUGAGAUCCGCAGUCCGUUGAGGGCGAGCAGCGACGCGAGUGCGUGGUCGCGGCCGCCGGAGAGGCCGGCUUGGACGAGGAAGGCGCCGAGUUCGUUGCGGUCCAUGCCGAGCGUGGUUGAUUCGUAGUCCUGUUUGGGUCGUCUCACGUGGGCGGCGGGGUUGCGGUC
rnacentral:rRNA from 1 species